rnacentral:rRNA from 1 species
AGUGAACGCUGGCGGUAGGCCUAACACAUGCAAGUCGAACGGCAGCACAGUAAGAGCUUGCUCUUACGGGUGGCGAGUGGCGGACGGGUGAGGAAUACAUCGGAAUCUACUUUUUCGUGGGGGAUAACGCAGGGACACUUACGCUAAUACCGCAUACGACCUACGGGUGAAAGCAGGGGAUCUUCGGACCUUGCGCGAUUGAAUGAGCCGAUGUCGGAUUAGCUAGUUGGCGGGGUAAAGGCCCACCAAGGCGACGAUCCGUAGCUGGUCUGAGAGGAUGAUCAGCCACACUGGAACUGAGACACGGUCCAGACUCCUACGGGAGGCAGCAGUGGGGAAUAUUGGACAAUGGGCGAAAGCCUGAUCCAGCCAUACCGCGUGGGUGAAGAAGGCCUUCGGGUUGUAAAGCCCUUUUGUUGGGAAAGAAAAGCAGCAGGUUAAUACCCCGCUGUUCUGACGGUACCCAAAGAAUAAGCACCGGCUAACUUCGUG